CAGUCUGCGUGCGGCGGCAAGCUAGGCGUGGAGCUGGAACAGCAAAACCUCCUCUGUCUCAAAUGCUAAAUGCUAAUGAGGUGAUUACCACUCCCCCUUGCUGCCCAGACUCUGGCCCUUGUAACAUUUCUAUUUGCAUGGCACCUUUCCAGCCUCAGAUACUUAUGGGCGCCCAUCCAUCCCGCUUGUGUUUGGGGCAGAGUUUCAAAGGAAUGCGGCGACAACGACAAUAGCGCAUUAUAACAGUAAUGUAACCAAAUAAAGAUAUUCAGAUAAGAGCUGCAUCGCUGCACAAUGCAAAACGACCUGAUCCUCGCGCGACAUGGACACACAAACACACAAACACAAAUGGCCCCACCCCCACAGCAGAUGACUUCCGUGGAGGUGUCCGCAAAGUGUUCGUGUGAAGACAAGAAAUGCCACAACAUGACAAACGAUCAGCUAACGUGAAAAGAGGGAGCGAGAGAGAAGAGGGGUGGAUUACGCCUCAUGCGACGUCAGCGCUCUCCCGCCAGCUGCAUCCCCGUUGUGUCCCCGUUUCUCGCGAUUGGUCUAAAAGUACUUUUGGCACCAGCAUGUAUGGCAAAGAAUAUGACUAGACAUGCAUGAUUGAGAAAAACAAUAUUAUGCUGUGGCGGCACUGAGAAAUGCUGUAGUCCUCCUUCUCCCUCCCCUGGCAGCCAUCCAUCCCAUUUGCGACGCUUUAAAUUGCGGCUCAUCCAAAGUUUAACGGCUAACAGCAUAUGCGCAGGCUGCUGCUGGUGCUUACGAAUUACUGGCCUGACUAUGGAGGCAUGCCCGCGUACGUCAGGUACGGCAUGCUCGUACAUCUCGCCACUACAACAGUUAAGAUCGGGCCAAAGCCAGGUGCUCAUGCCAAAUGUGCUUUAUUGUCGUCCACUUGUGCGAUCGUCAUGUAUUUGAGUGAUGUCACACCGUAACAUGUAGACGACAGCUCGCAGCGACGUACUCAAACAAGCGGUUUCGCAAUGCGGGUUUGGCCUUUUGAUUGUUGUUGCUGCCGUAAUGCAUGAAGCAUUUUCUCAUUGCCGUACAUUUGGCAGGUGGCGAUACGGCAUCCUGGAUCGAACGCGUCACGAUUACCGGUAAGAUAUAACGGAGUUUUGGUUUGCAUGGGUGUGUCUGUGCAUGUAUGUAUGUAUGUAUGACGUUGAUUACACUGUGGGCUGAAAAGCCGGGGGCCCAGGGCCGAAGCACAGCGCGGGGGGCGGGUGCAUACGGCUGGUUAGUCUCAUGCACUCCGCCCCCGGGUCAGGCCGCACGGGAAACGACGGCCGGCACGCAACAGCGCUUGUUUGGCGCUCCAACUAGACGGGAUCUAUGCCCGUUGGUCUCCUAACAUAAACGAAGUCGCAACUGGGGGCCCCUUCCUGCCGACCGAACGAACCGAGCAUCUCAGAGAGCUCGCAACCAGGACCUGGGCGACCGGGAGCCCGACGAGUCAUCCCGGGCUGGGGAGGUCACCAAGCUCAAAAAUCCUCACGCAAUAAAAAGAGCGCAAAGAGCUCACACCACAAGACGCCAAAACAGCCUCCUGAGACUACUACCCUCCGCCUCUCCCUCCCUGGGCUAGUCCAGGGGAGAUAGCCCCCGUCGGGGGGAUAACACCGCACAAGUCCGCGCCCUUCCACAGCACUGGGUCUAACUUGAAAAGUACUCAAACGGGAAGACCCUGCGGCCACGCAGGGCGAUCAAGCCUCCGAAAAACCACAGGGGGGGAGGGUAGCCAGCUCGGCGCCCCCCCAAUACCGCUCUACCAAGACGGCUGGUUCCCAAGAUCCUAUCUCACCUAGACGCCGCAACACGAAAAACCCGGUCUCGUACCCUGAAGAACCUAGUCCUGCACCACGCGCGCACCUUCGAGUACGGCCCCUCCUUCUGGGUGCCCACCUCCCCCUCAUCCGCGCCCUCGCUACGGCCACCUGUUUCCACUCACCACCCCUCAACCCUACAUCCUCUUGGUGCUCUCUCUGCCUCUUUCCCUCCCCCCCCGGCUCUCCCCGCCCUUUCCCCGGUCUCCCCUCCCUCCGCCGGUACGGCUCCCCCAGGCAAAUAAACCCUCCCUCCCCCAUGUCCCCUUGCGCGGCACCCCCCCAAGCCCCAUCCCUGAUCCCGCCCCCCUCGCAACCUUUCCCCUCAACCUCCCUCUCGACCUCCCUGCCACCCCCACCACCUCAAAUCCCCCUUCCGCGCCUCGACACCCUAUCCCCUUAUCCCCUAAACUCCAGCUCCCGCCGCGUCCGCUUGACCAUUAGGUCGUGAUGUCCACCGCCUCCGCGCAGCGCAGUGCUCCCCCGACGAUUGACAGGAUCGGGUGGUGGGGUCCCACUCCGUCCCAGCCCCGCCUUGGGACAUUGAGCGCGGUGAAAGAGCGCAAGCGCGCCCAGAAGUCCACUACUGCCCGAGCGCGGGCGUAUUCCAGGGGGGUUGCUGCUGCUGUUGCUGUUGCUGCUGCUGUUGCUGCUGCUGUUGCCGUCCCCGGUCCCGCGAUGGGCCCCUGCGUUUGAUCCUCGAGUACCGGCGCGUUCAGCGGCGGCCCCUCGUGCGGUCUCACUCCGUUGGCCAGGUGGAAGAAGUCCGUUAUCCGCCGCUGUUGGGGCCCUUGCGCCUGGAUCUGUUGCGCUUGCUCUGGCUGUUCUGUCGCGGGGUUAGCCGCCCUUUCCAGUCGUCUUCCGGCUGCUCGCAGGCAGCACCUGCCUACCUCCAUAGCAGACAGGGCCGCCAGGGCGAUCACAUCCCAGGGGGCCUGCUCGCAGCCGGUCGGGGCUUGGACCAACCACAGCUGCUUCCGGGUGAUGCCGCCUGUCGCUGCCUCCUGGGAGGGCUGUAUGUGUCGGUCAAUUUGCUCCCGGACAGCUUGUGCGACAGGGCACUCCCAGAAGUGGUGCAUGCGUGGGGAGCAGUGCUGGUUGCUGGCGUUGCCGAACCCUCCACACCCACAGCGCUCAGGCACCAUGCGGGCCAGGUGCGUGUUGCCGGGCAGGGGGAUGCCGUCCACGGCGAGCCGCCACAGCGUUUCUUUGUUCUCGUUCUCCCACCGCACCCCCGACCACAAGCGGGCUUGCGUCGCCCUGAAGCGGCUUGUUUCCGCUGAGGAGGAAGGUGCCGUUUCCUGCGGGUCCAACGCUUCUUGCACAAAUGCUGCCAUCAAGCGUCCCCGUUUCUCCUCGGUGGCCCCGCAUUGCAGCUGUGUCGCUAGGCGGACCGUCAGGCGUGUGAGUGGGACGGUUGUUGUGCCGCCCGGUAUCUGCCAUCCGACCCGCUUUAGGAUCAUAGCCAACGCCUGAGUGCUGUUGGGGGUGCUUGGAGCCGUCAUGUCCCCCGCCGUUGGCAUCUCUGGCUGCUGCUGUUGGGGUUGCUGCUCAUGCGGCUGCGUCUGUAGCUGUUGCUGCGGCUGUUGCUGCUGUUGCGGCUGCGGCUGAUGCUGUGUCUGUAGCUGUGGUUGUGUUUGCAGCUGUUGUGGCUGUACCUGUGGCUGCGGCUGUGGCUGCGGCUGAGGCUGCGGCUGUAGCUGCGGCUGUGGCUGCGGCUGUGGCUGCGGCUGUGGCUGCGGCUGUGGCUGCGGCUGUGGCUGUGACUGCGGCUGUGGCUGCAGCUGUGCCUGCGGCUGGGGUUGCUGUUGCUGUUGGGUUUCCACUGCUCUUGCAGCUUCGAGCCAGGCCGGGUUGAUAGCGCCAUGUAGCGUCUUAAGGGCUGCCAGGGUCGCUGACCUGUCCCGCGUGGGUGCUGGGGUUGAUGGGUCGAGGUGUGUCCUGACCCAUUCGGGCCAGGUCGACCUGGGGAGGGAGGCCACUCGAGUAUGCACCACUAGGUCCCAGACCCGCACUAGGUCGCCCACCGUUUGCAGUUCCUGCAUGANNNNNNNNNNNNNNNNNNNNNNNNNNNNNNNNNNNNNNNNNNNNNNNNNNGCGGUUCAAACUGUCUGGGUCUGCCUCGCCGGUAUUGGGGAGCAACGGGUUACCCCACAACGCGGUUGCCCAGCACCACGGUCCGGGGGACAGGGGGCUGGUCUCGAUAUCCCGGAGCGGUGGUAGGUGUCCCAGGGCACCCACAAUCCGGCUGAUAUCCGUGGGUAGAUAAUCCUGUAGGAGUGAUAAGGACAUGUACGGCAUCUGUCUUUGCUUGGCAUCUCAGUCUUUUGUACAUUUAAUAGCGACACAAAGCUAGUCUGCGACAUCUAAGAGGUACCGAACGUAGUGGUUCGGAGCGAAUGCGUGUCUAUUUUAUGUAUGUACGAUAUGUGAUGUCACGUCCUUGAAAGGGUGUUGAGGAGGGCGGAUCUAUCCGUGCCGUGCUUGCCGUGACGGGAUGUUGCCUGAGCAGGACAUGCCCUCGUCAGUGUGUGUGUUAUCAGCAUGUUGCGUUUGGUCACCUCUACAGUGGCGUCACUCGCGGGGUUUUUUUAUUGCGUGUUUGAAUCGCGUACUGCAUCAUUGUCAUCGGCAUGUCUGGUGUUGCGAAUUCAGCUGGUGUGCGAGUUCAGCUCCGCAUUGCAGCUCGCCUGCCGCUGCCGUUGCUGCUGUUGCUGUUCCCGCACUUCUUUGUGGGUGCUGUUGCUGCUGUUGCUCUGUGUGUGUGUGUGUUUUAUGGUUGCGAAAGAGGGAAAUGUUUUCUUCCUGAAUGCGGCGUGCAUGGAUGAUGUUCUAGGGAUGUUGUUCUAGGGACCAGCGUUGCAGGUGACGUUGUCGAUAGCUUCGCGGACAAACCCCCCAUGCGUGGAUUUACAUACACGCAUACAUGCGUGUGCUGCUGUUUCGAGGGAGCGGGUGUUGAUCGGUUUUGAGGCGGGAAGAAGAGGAAGAGAGAAAGUGAUGGAGGGGGAUAUGCGCACCGUCACCACACUGCACCGCACGCCAUUACUUGUGGCCGUUGUCUGUCGGCCGCUUGACCCCCGGAGGAGUCCAUCAAGCGGGGAAGUGCCCGGAGCGCUUUCCCAAAAUGUUAGGUGUCGCAAAAGGCCUUCCAUAUGUUGUGGAAUUGCGUUCUAGCUUGAUGGCUGAUCUUUUUGCGUUAAAGAGUCCCCCCUCCUCCUGUUGUGAGGGGGCUUUUCCGUACCCCGCCAUUCUUUGGCUGGUUAAAGGUGUGAGAGAUGGUGAUGCGGUGAUAUGUGUCGUACCGCGUGACGAAUGAUACAGUGAUGCAGCUCUUGGGAGCCAUCGUCGCAUUCGGAAAAUGCGGGCAAGCGAGCCGUCGCUAUAGCGCCAGUACAUAAGCCCUUGCCAGGUCUUCCAGUCUGCGUGCGGCGGCAAGCUAGGCGUGGAGCUGGAACAGCAAAACCUCCUCUGUCUCAAAUGCUAAAUGCUAAUGAGGUGAUUACCACUCCCCCUUGCUGCCCAGACUCUGGCCCUUGUAACAUUUCUAUUUGCAUGGCACCUUUCCAGCCUCAGAUACUUAUGGGCGCCCAUCCAUCCCGCUUGUGUUUGGGGCAGAGUUUCAAAGGAAUGCGG
rnacentral:lncRNA from 1 species